rnacentral:tRNA from 1 species
GGGAAUUUGGCUUAAUGGUAGAGUACUUGCCUAGCAUGCAAGUAUGUGCCUAGCAUGAAGCCUUGGGUUCAAUUUCUC